CCUAAAUCUGUUUGCUCUGUGACUGUGACCACUGUUACCAUUUAGUUUCGCCAACUAGAUCUUGAGCUAAAGAGAUGGAGCAGUUAGGCGGUCAGUUAAAUCAGCUUGUGUCCAACACAGGAAAGGAAGUGGACAAGAAAGGGAAGGAAGCCACAGGAGCAGUGAAUCAGGGCACCGGCCAAGUGCAGCAGGUCAUCGAGCAGGCUGUUGAUAAGGGUGCCGACGCUUUGAAAAAGGCAGGGACCAAAGUGGUUAACAACAUGAGCGGCAGUAUUCCAGGUAUCGGAAAGUGAUGGGUCAUCUCCAACUUCGAGCAGCAAUCAUCAUUACAAUUUUUCUGCAAGACUCAUGUUUGGAAAGAAAUUGGUCCUUUUUAACUGAAUAAAUGUCUCU